rnacentral:lncRNA from 1 species
UUUGGUGCACCGGUACACUCAAAAUUUUGGGUGUACCAUAGAAUUUGCCCGAUAAACAUUGCUAUCUUUCAAUAUUUAUCUGAAAGAGUACAAAUGUAGUGGAGUGGUGCAACUUCUAAUUGGCAAAAACUGAUUGUGUAGCAAUGGUAAAAGUAAUGAAUGUAACUGCAAGUAAGACACUGGAAGCUGAUAUGUUACAAGGACUAUGGUUAUCACUUGCAAAAGUAGGAUUUAGAGUGAUCAUGGCUGAAGCAUAAAUGUUUUGGCUUGGUUGGUUUGGAAAACUAUGGCAUAUUGACGGUAGCAGACUUGUCGAUUAACGGUCAGUAUAACCAAUUGACGAUUGAUGCUUCAACAUACUUUCUCUGGCUUUGGUCUAUUCCAAUGCUCCAAUAUUAAGAGAAAAGAAAACAAUUUAAAUAAUUUUAUUUUUUGACUUAUUUUAUUUGAUUAUGAUCAUCUUAGAGUACAAACCCGUAAUUGCAAGGUCUAUGAAAUUAUUAAAAGGAAAAAAAUUUAAAUUAUUGGGUGCUAACGCAAUAACUAAAUGAUAGCUAUGGAAUUUUGUAGCAGAAUUUUAUGGGCACAAUUGCUCAAUUACAUGCACAAAAGCCUUCUUUUGUGGAAAAGAAUAAAAAAUAAGGUUUCACACACUUUGGAAACAAAGGAAGCUUACACAACUUGAGUUCGCAACCAGAGUCAUUUUUACAUGUAACACGACCUGUUCUAAUGUAUGGUUUCAAAGGAAACUGACAUGACUUGUUUUGGCAACCAUAGUCUUUUAUACAUUUAACACGACCUGUUGUA